rnacentral:rRNA from 1 species
CUACGGGCGUCCGCAUUGUAAUCUAUAGAGGCGUUUUCUGUGCUGGACCGUGUCCAAGUCCCUUGGAACAGGGUAUCAAAGAGGGUGACAAUCCCGUACUUGACACGACAACCAGUGCUCUGUGAUACGUCUUCUACGAGUCGAGUUGUUUGGGAAUGCAGCUCAAAAUGGGUGGUGAAUUCCAUCUAAAGCUAAAUAUUGGCGAGAGACCGAUAGCGAACAAGUACCGUGAGGGAAAGAUGAAAAGCACUUUGGAAAGAGAGUUAAACAGUAUGUGAAAUUGUUGAAAGGGAAACGAUGGAGGUCAGUCGUGUCUGUGGGAUUCAGCCGUCUCUGGCGGUGUACUUCCCACAGACGGGUCAACAUCAGUUUUGGCUGGCGGAUAAAGGCAGGAGGAAGGUGGCACCCCCGGGUGUGUUAUAGCCUCUUGUUGCAUACGCUGGCUGAGACUGAGGAAUGCAGCUCGCCUUUAUGGCCGGGGUUCGCCCACGUUCGAGCUUAGGAUGU